GUCGUCGUGGCCGAGUGGUUAAGGCGACAGACUUGAAAUCUGUUGGGCUCUGCCCGCACAGGU
rnacentral:tRNA from 1 species